UGUACCCACAGCACAGCCUCAAGCCCUGGCUGUCACAGCAAGUUCCUGAUUCUCCUGCCAUGAAGUUGCUGUGAGAGUGAACAAGGCCGUGGGGCAUCUCCAGGCUGAGUGUGAGACGAUGCUCCCACAGACUUACUCCCUGCAAGCCACACCCUGGGGAGAAACAAAAGGAUGCAAUGCCAAGGUGCCAAAGAGCCUGAAGUCAUGCCAGUGGUGGAGUGCUGAUUGUAACGCAUUGGGUUUGGAUGACAUCCCCACUCAUCUGUAAUGAAAGCUGGAUCAAAGGAAACCUUCCACAGAAGCAAGAACUGACCACCAUCUACAUCAACUGGAACCUUUCUGGAAUCCACACAGUGCAAUGAUCCUUAGAAAAAGCUAACUGGGAUUAAGUUGUUACAAUAAGAAGGCCACCAACAC